AUGAAUCUUUUCUCACAUUGUCUUCCAUCUCUUUGCACAAUCCAUCCUCAUUGCACCGAAGUCUGCUCUUUCCAUCUUUUAUAGAUGCUCUCAUAGAUUCCUUGAAAGAUGAAAAGUUCCCAAAUUUGUCUACAACCAAGACAAUCAGUAGCUUCUCAAGAUGACUCAAAUGUGGUCAGAAGAAGAGCCCUCUCUGGCAUAAAGGUCUAUGCAAAAGCCCAGCUAUUGCAGAAAGUUUAAAGAAUGGGAGUGGCCUAGUAAGACUUCCGCUAAGUGUUGUGCUCUGCUUGUUUUUCAGUUAACAAAAGUACCAUGCUUUAGCAGCUAUCACCUUUCUAUCAAGGUUCUAGAAAAUGUAUCUCGCCAAAAACUUGACAAGCGUAAAAAUAGGCGGAGACAUCCAAUUUCAAAGCCUUUUAAAAAUAGGUUUGAUUCUUGUUUCCACUUGCUUAUAUGUGGAUGAUUGGCCAAUGUUCUUCCCUUUUUCUUGAAAUUUGACAAGAUUUGGAUUCUUGUUUUCCCUUGCUUAUACGUGGAUGAUUGACCAAUGUUCUCCUUUUCUUGAAAUUUGACAAGGAAGAUUGUUAUGUUGGAUAGGGUAUGUAUUGAGAGGACUAUUGACUAUAUCAAGAAAGUAACUACUCGAUGGUGUCUCUGAGUGAUAAAUGGUCUUCUAGGCCUGAGGUAUUUUCUUGGGAACCAAUGGUAUGCCAUGAUAAUGUAGAUGUGGGAUGGUCUAGACUAUCAGAUACGAAUGUUCACGAGGGAAAGCUUCUUGGAUGUUCAUACAAUCAAAGUUGUGUUGGCGUAUGGGUUGUGAACCUCUCUGUGCGUAUUCUAACUCAUUCUAUUUGGCUUAAAAAUAUAUUUUUGCUUCUUGAGAAAACAUUAAAUGGUCACUAAAUUUGUAAAUAUAAAGUUUAAUACUAGCUGAUAUUAUGAAAUGCAGUGCAUUGAACCAUAUGCAAUUGCUAGUCCUAGAUUAAAUGAUCAUUCAUGCCAAAAGUCUACAUUAGAUGGUAAUCCAUCUAUGCCAGAUGAUAACAUAAAGUCUAGUAUGAGGAGGUUAUCAAUAUUACAGAGUUCUGAAACAAAUUCUAAGGAGACAAAAUCAUUACUAGGUAGGCUAUUUGAAUAGUUUUUAUUGCAUUUUUCAUUUUAUGUGUUUGGAGCAGGUAUGAGAUAUGAAUAUUUCUCUUUUCUGUAAUUGGAGCAUGUGCUAGCACGAGAGCACCUCUGGUCGCACCAACAUCCGUUUCUUCCUCUGUAAAAAGAAGUUUAUCAAACUUCAGUCCACAUCCAACCUUCAGACCAUCCAAGCAGAUAUGGUACCUAUGAUUGUUCCAAGAACUAGCACGAUAAUACACUUGUCCUCUGAUUUUACUAUAGACUCUGGGGUUGGUAAAACAAUGCCAUUUGAUAUCCAAUUAAAAUUUACUAAAUUUUGGAAGGUGUCAAACAUCAAAUAGAAUUCAGAUAAAACAGAUAUCCAUUCAGUCUGGAUAUUUGAGCAGUAGUAAUAUUGAACAAAAUGAAUUUCUUGGCCAAACUCCUAUUUCUUUUGGCAUUUCAACAUGUGUCAGUUGAAACAAAUAAUUUGGAUGGUGUUAAGAACUUGAUUAAAGGAAGGAUCAGGUCUAUCCAAUUUAUUCAGAGAACCACAUUUGCACUUUGAUCAGGAAAAUUGUAAGUCUGAUGCCACCUUAUUUUGUUUUGUUAGAUUAUUCAUGAUUCCAACUUAUCAAGAUUUCUUGAUAUUAUUGUUGAACGCUGUUAGUUAUAGGACAUUCUAAAGCAUACAUCAUCACUAUUCUAUGUUAUUUUGUAUUUCUCCUUCAAAUGAACUAUACUUGUAGAUAUUAAGUGAUCCUGUGAUUAAAUAUUUCUUUACAAAUCAUGGCAUAGAUAAUGAAGAGAACUUCCAGAGUGAAAUUUCAGCAUUGAUAAUUUUCAAUCUUGGUUGGACUAAUACCAAACUCCCGAGUUGGAUCUAUAUAAAUUCUUACCCUAUCAAGUGUCACCUCUAAGAAAUUAAGUAUUCAAGGAAGAAUGUAUUGAAGGUAAAAAAAAAGAAGCUUGACAUUCAAAGAAACUGGUAUAGAUAAGGUACAUUUUGUUGGACACGGGAGGAAAUCCAUUAAAAAAUCAAUCAGAUUGGUGAUGGCUGAUUUGCACACUUGCAAGAGAGAUGUCCAUGUCUUCACUAUUGUGGACAUAUUCGCCGCAUGAAUUCGACCUUAGCUAAAGGGCUAACUGAAUCAACCAUAGCCAAUCUUGACGAACCGUGUUCAAUAUUAAAUUUGUUUUCGAUUAAGUUUCAACCUCUAGGGUAUUUAAAGAAAUAUGAAAGAACAUCUAGUUCAAAUAAGUCAAUCAAGAGCUUCAGGUUUUAUGUAUUUAGAAUUACCUAAGAAAAGUAAAACAAUUCUAUUUCCUAUUACGAGUUUGAAAUUUGCAUCUUUUUCUUACACGAGAAAUAAAUCAUGCACAAUCUUCAUCAAUACCAAGUACCCUUGCAACAUUAUAUGAACAUGAUGGAUCUUCAGGUAUGUAAGGUAACUGGAAUUUAAUCUUCCUAAGUAAUUGGUUUGAAUUAUUUCCAACCUCAUUUGGUUUACGUAUGAUUUAAUCUUUAGGAGAAGAUCUUUUACAAACUCCUCAUUGACCAUGUGGAAGAAUUGCUUCCAAUUAUUUAUACACCUAUUGUCGGAGAGGCAUGCCAGACUCUAUCUUUAGGCAUCCUCAGGGCCUCUAUAUCAGUUUGAAUGAGAAGUUAUUAUGUUGCUUGACUUGCUUCCUAAUCCAAUUACUGAAAUUUAUGGAAUAAAUUGAGUUUUCAAAGGAAGGAUUCUUGAGGUACUGAGAGACUGGCCUGAAAGGAAUAUUCAAAUUAUUGUGGUCAUAGAUGGUGAGCAGAUCUUGGGUUUUGAGGAUCUUGUCUGCCAGGGCAUGGGAAUUCCUAUGGGCAAACUUGCUUUAUAUAGUGUACUUGGUGGAGUCCGUUCAUCUGCUGUGAAAGUUCUGUGAAUAAGAUGGAGCAACAUGCUAAUUGUGUGGGGAAGUAUUUAUAAGUUCUUCCUUUUGCCUUUGAAGGAAAGCAUAUCAACCUCCAGCAACCUCAAAGAAGCUUUUGUUACGACAUUCUCAGAAGGUUAAGUUGACAAGGAAACUACAAAAUGGUGUCACAACAACAGAUUCGGUUUUGACUGUCACCCAAAUGUUGAGGAAAAUAUGGAGUUGUUCGCAAGUUUGUCAAGUUCUAUGGUGAAGGAAUGGGUGGCUAUGAUUGAGGCCUAUUUGCAUCCAAACAAAAUGUUUGUUGACUAUAAGGAGCCUCAGAAGGAAAGGGUUUAUUCAUCUUAUCUAGAAUUAAACCUUGAAGAUUGUUCAGCCCUGCAUUUCAGGUCCUAAAAGGUUAAGCCUUGGGUGAAAACAAGCCUUGCCCUGGUAUUGGAGUUGUUACCAAGUAUUUUCUCAAAGGUGGCCUUCAAGAAUAUUUAAAUCAGCAAGGAUUCCAUAUAGUUGGAUAUGGUUGCACAACAUGUAUUGGAAAUUCUGCGGACCUUGAUGAGUUGGUGACUGUUGCAAUUUUAGAUUACUAGAUAUGUCAUUGAUUGUCCAAUCUUGAAGUGGCAGCAACAUCAAGCAAGAUGAAGAUAUGUAUCCAACAACCCUUGCACACCCAAUAAAGUUUGGAAAGAAAAGUCACCCUGAGUGUGCUUGAUUUUCACCGAAUAGUCUAUUAUUAUUAUCCAUUUUCUGCUCUUUCUGAUCCGGUUAAACUCUACAAUGAUCUUAGAUGGAACAUUAGUAGACCCCAAGGUUUUGAAGCAGUGAUGCGUGUUAGAUGUAGCUGGGGUCUUGAAGUUCAAGAAUACUCUGGAAAAUUUUGCAAAAGUGUUCCUAGUGAUAUUGAUCUUCCUGUGUGCACUUCUUUAUACCACUGUGUAUGGGCAACGAAGGAUUUGCGUUAUUAAUCUCUCCCUUACUUGCACUGAUAAUAUCAGCAGUUUGCAGCAGUUUGUGCCAAUCCACUAAUUUGGAUGCUCAGUUUACUUGUUUGCUCAAGCAAGCUGCAUGCAGCAUCCCUGUGAGCCCUCUUUCUCAAGUAAGGCAACAAAUCACUAAUAUCUGUAUCAACAUCCUGCAUUCCCAUAGAAAAUUUUGUGCAACAAUAUCACUAUUUGCAAGGAUGAAGUCUAUGUCGACAUCCAUUGAAUCGAAAAGGAACUUGGUUGCAGCUGUGAUGAGGUUCCAGUCGCUAGUUCCCACUAGGUGUCGAGGACAAAUAUCCUUAUUCUCUUUCUUAACCAAGAUGUCAAUCUUCUUCUGCCCUAUGUUCUUCAACAAAAUCGAAUGACCAUUCUCAAGAUUCAAGACAAUCUUGUGAUUCCCCACCAAGGGUCAUCUUCUCAAGUUCUUCAUCCUCAGUCUCGAGUGACUAAUCCUUCAGCCCUAUUGAGAGAUUGGUACCUUUAUUUAUUUGAGGGGUCCUAGAUUUUUUUUGGGAUGUGAUCUUUCGUCGGAGACAUAAUAUAGAACACAACGACAAAGGAAAAUGAAACCCUUUUAGCCAUCAUAACAGCUUAUGUACAGGGCGAGGAUGUAGCCGCUAGAGGAAGAAUGUUACUAUACACUUUUGUUAACAAUGUUGACAGUUUUCAGAAUGUGGAAUUAUUAAAUUUUCGAGGUUUACUUGAAAGAGUUAAAGGGUGUUGUGUCUGCCAUAGCUUCUCUCCAAGGUCAUUUGUUGGUUUCAUCUGGCCCUAAGAUCUCCUUGCACAAAUGGACUGGUACUGAGUUGAAUGUUAUCGCUUUCUAUGAUGCUCCUCUUUAUGUAAUGGAAUAGAAAACAUUGUCAAAAAUUUUAUCUAGUGGGAGAUAUUCACAAAAAGCAUCUAUUUUUAAAUUGGAAAGAGCAGGGUGCUCAGUUGAGCUUAUUAGCCAAGGAUUUGCUUCUCUUGAUUGUUAUGCAACUAAGUUUCUGAUAGGUGGAAGUACAUUGAGCCUUGUAGUUUCAGAUGAUAAAAAAAAUAUUCAGAUAUUCUAUAAUGCUCCAAUAACAUUAGGGUUGGAAAGGGCAGAAGCUUUUGUCUAGAGUUGAAUUUCAUGCUGGGGCCCAUGUGACAAAAUUCUUGAAGCUGUAGAUGCUCUCCAUCUCUUCUGAUCAAACCAAUAUAACUCCUGGUUAUGACAAGACCAACUGGUUCACCCUUCUAUUCAGUACACUAGAUGUGAGCAUUGGUUGUAUUGCACCAUUGGAUGAACCAUUCUGCAGACUUCAAACCCUGCAAAAAAAAAAAACUAGUAGAUGUUCCCCAUACAUGUGGCCUGAAUCCAAAAUCAUUUCAGUAGUUCCAUUCAAAUGGAAAGGCACAUCGUCCUAUCCAGAUAAUAUGGUUGAUUGUGAGCUUCUUUCCUAUGGCAUGCUAAAAGGAGGACAACUUAGUAUUCUAACUGAUCAAGUGUAAUUUGACAACGGGCCCCAGUGAUCAAGAAUGUUUUAUUGUGGACCACUACUAUCAGACCCGAUACUUUUGAGUAUACUGCCAGGGUAAUAUGCUAAAAUGCUAUUGCCAUGUGUGUAAGUCUGAGUAAGGUGCAUUUUCUUUGGAUAGAAAUACUUAUCAAAUACAUUUAUUUGUUUAGGAUAAGUCAGUUGAUGUUCGCUAGGGUGUGGAGUCAUGUAUUGUUGAAGUUCUUAGAGUCUAUGGACACAAGGCAUUAUGUGAACCUUUUUAAAAACAUUUGUUCUAAUUUUCUUGAUGACAAUGAUGACAUGGAAUAUCACCACAUUUUUCCUUCUAAUUUUGCAUACUACCAAAUGUAUGAAGGAUGUGAAGGGACCUACUUUGACAAUUGUACUUGAGUGUAAGCCAUCUAGAGUGAUUGAAGAAUUUUCAGAUUCUACAAGAGUGAUUGUGUUGGUGAUUCGACUUCUAAGUCUACUAGAAGAAUGGAAAGCUAGUAUCAAAUGUUGGCAAUGAGUGUAGACCUAGCAUAAGAUGACUUCAAUGGUGUGCUCUUCUCUCUAGUUGAGUGAUUGCUCUAGUGGUCUGACUUCCAAGUCUACCAUGAAGAGUGGAAAGCUAGUAUCAAAUGUUGGCAAUGAGUGUAGACCUAGUAGUAAGAUGACAUCAAUGGUGUGAUUUUCUCCCUAGUUGUAAGAUAACUUUAAAGUAGACAAUGCUUACUUUUGA